UACGUAGGGUGCAAGCGUUAAUCGGAAUUACUGGGCGUAAAGCGUGCGCAGGCGGUUUGGCAAGACAGGUGUGAAAUCCCAGAGCUUAACUUUGGAACUGCACUUUUAACUGCCAAGCUAGAGUAUGUCAGAGGGGGGUAGAAUUCCACGUGUAGCAGUGAAAUGCGUAGAGAUGUGGAGGAAUACCGAUGGCGAAGGCAGCCCCCUGGGAUAAGACUGACGCUCAUGCACGAAAGCGUGGGGAGCAAACAGG
rnacentral:rRNA from 1 species